rnacentral:lncRNA from 1 species
GCGGUAUGAAAAGUGUAUUUUAAGAAACACCAACAAACUCCCCCACACUUAGCCCUUUGCUCGUCCUCGAGUAAAGCAUUUGGGAUAAGAUGGUUCCACUUCUCCUGAUAAUGAACCUACAUACAAACUAUUCCAAGCCUCACCUGAACUUAUGAGCAUUCAGAGUGUCUACCAAAACAUCUUGAGUAAUUGAAAAAUGGAACAGUUAGGAUUCAAAUCUUCUUACUCAACUUUGCUCAAAACAUGGGUUUUACCUUUUUGAAUAAAAAUAGUCUUGCUCUUCAGAUGAUACUCUCAAAUCACUCGAGAAUGUUUCUGGUUCCUUACCAAGGUAAAAGUACCUCUUGAUUUGUCCUAUCUCUAUAAGCUAUAUUUGGAGUUUUGGGUAUGGACCAAGGAGAAUGCAUACUUACCUUGUAUAUAUUGUCGAGUCAAAUCUCGGAUCCAAGAAGAGAAGUGUCAUACCCUUAGAUCAAGAUGUGCAAGUGUGUGGUAUAUGGUAUAAACAACUCUGUUGGUUGAUAUGAUCUCAUCAAGUAUUUCUAGACAUGGCUAUCAUAACUCUUUUAUUUUCUUGUGAGCCUUCAUGUGCUCAUCUCUUUUUUUUGUAUACUUAGGACCUUCAUGUGUCCUAUAUUUUUUUUAGGUGGGUAUUUUUAUACCCCUAAUUCUACGGCGGGCACUUGCCUAUUUUUUUUAUAUAUAUAUACUUUUGCAUAGCCCAUGUCUUUAUCUAAGAUGCACUAGAGAGAUCAUUCUUUAAAACAUGGAGUGUUUGUAUGGUGGACAUGUAAGGCAUGUUUUUGCGCACUCCUAGUGUAGAAGCGGCAUAUAUAUGUAUCUGGAGUGUACGUGAUCUUGAUCUUGAGAGCAUGAUAAAUCUCUUAACAAGGGUCAACAAGACUUGACAUAACUCAAAACAAAUAAGCAGCUAUUUGUAGAAUUUUUAUCAAGAGUAAUAUAUUUGGCCUUGGUAGGUAAUUAUCUAUCAUUGAAGAGCAGACUUUUUGCAAUUUUAAUUUUAUCAAAUAAAUCCCCAAGUUCAUUGCAUAAGUGAGCAAGUUUCAAAUCAUCCUACUAUAUCGCAAAUCUCAAUUACUUAGAAGCAAUGGGGUCCUUAUAAAAAGUUGCUCAUAAAUGGUAGGCUUUUGGCGAGGAAUAAAGAGUAUGCAUGUUUAAUUUCAAAGGUAGAAAGGAAAUGGAGUAUUCAUUUAUUUUUUUGUCUUUUUAUUUUAUUAGGAAUAUUUUUAUCAUAUAAAUCAGAUUUAAAUUAUCAUAGGAGGAAU